UAUCCCAGCUCACACUCCUAGUCCUCCUCACCACCCCAAUUUAUACUCCUGGUCAUGCCCUCAGGAAUUGCCCCCUUCUCUCUCAAACUCCUGGCCUCUCCACAGACUCCUGACUAAGCGCUUCAGCUAAUCACUUUCCAACGUGCUUCCUCACACUGCUGCACAGACUCCGCUGUGGAGGGAGUAAGCUGCUCGGUGAGGCCUCCUCAGUCUGUGCAUAGUGCCUCCCAGCAAGGGCAUAGCAGGAAGUGCUGCAGUAGCUGGUGCUAUCCUUCUUUGCAACCUGCUUUCCUGGCAGCAUGGCUCACCAGGCCUUGGCAAAACCUGCUCUCUUUUCGUCACAAUCCCUGUAAUGAAUUGAGGUAUACAAAGCUGGUCAUACAAUACGUAGCAGCAGCGCGGAGAAAGACUCUUAGGGAAGAGUUUCCAUAGAAACACUGACGUCCUGCCCUGCUAACAGGACAUCGAGUUCCUUGAACGGGAGGAUGAUAUACUGCUUGCGUGUCUUUUUGUUAAAGGUGAUGUUCUAU
rnacentral:lncRNA from 1 species